AGGGAAUCUUGCGCAAUGGGCGAAAGCCUGACGCAGCCACGCCGCGUGAGGGAAGACGGCUUUAGGGUUGUAAACCUCUUUCAGUAGGGACGAAUCAAGACGGUACCUACAGAAGAAGCUCCGGCUAACUACGUGCCAGCAGCCGCGGUAAUACGUAGGGAGCGAGCGUUGUCCGGAAUCAUUGGGCGUAAGGCGCGUGUAGGCGGCCUGCAUAGUCUGGUGUGAAAUCUUUCGGCUUAACCGGAAGCGGUCACUGGAUACUGGCAGGCUUGAGUCCGGAAGAGGAGUGUGGAAUUCCUGGUGUAGCGGUGGAAUGCGCAGAUAUCAGGAGGAACACCUAUGGCGAAGGCAGCACUCUGGUACGUGACUGACGCUGAGACGCGAAAGCGUGGGGAGCAAAC
rnacentral:rRNA from 1 species